rnacentral:rRNA from 1 species
AUUGAACGCUGGCGGCAGGCUUAACACAUGCAAGUCGAGCGGAGAUGAGGUGCUUGCACCUUAUCUUAGCGGCGGACGGGUGAGUAAUGCUUAGGAAUCUGCCUAUUAGUGGGGGACAACAUUCCGAAAGGAAUGCUAAUACCGCAUACGUCCUACGGGAGAAAGCAGGGGAUCUUCGGACCUUGCGCUAAUAGAUGAGCCUAAGUCGGAUUAGCUAGUUGGUGGGGUAAAGGCCUACCAAGGCGACGACCUGUAGCGGGUCUGAGAGGAUGAUCCGCCAAACUGGGACUGAGUCACGGCCCAGACUCCUACGGGAGGCAGCAGUGGGGAAUAUUGGACAAUGGGGGGAACCCUGAUCAAGCCAUACCGCGUGUGUGAAGAAGGCCUUAUGGUUGUAAAGCACUUUAAGCGAGGAGGAGGCUACUGAGACUAAUACUCUUGGAUAGUGGACGUUACUCGCAGAAUAAGCACCGGCUAACUCUGUGCCAGCAGCCGCCGUAA